CAGUGGCGUACGGGUGAGUAACACGUGACUAACCUACCCUCGAGUGGGGAAUAACCUCGGGAAACCGGGGCUAAUACCGCAUAACAUCUACGGAUCAAAUGCGUAAGCAGCUUGAGGAGGGGGUCGCGGCCGAUUAGCUAGUUGGCGGGGUAAUGGCCCACCAAGGCAAUGAUCGGUAGCCGGCCUGAGAGGGCGCACGGCCACACUGGAACUGAAACACGGUCCAGACUCCUACGGGAGGCAGCAGUGGGGAAUUUUGCGCAAUGGGGGAAACCCUGACGCAGCAACGCCGCGUGGAGGAUGAAGCCCUUUGGGGCGUAAACUCCUUUCGAUCGGGACGAUGAUGACGGUACCGGAAGAAGAAGCACCGGCUAACUCUGUGCCAGCAGCCGCGGUAAUACAGAGGGUGCAAGCGUUGUUCGGAAUUAUUGGGCGUAAAGGGCGCGUACGCGGUGCGGUAAGUCUGUGGUGAAAUCU
rnacentral:rRNA from 1 species